rnacentral:tRNA from 1 species
GCGCCCGUAGCUCAGUUGGAUAGAGCGUCUGGCUUCGAACCAGAGGGUCGGGAGUUCAAGUCUCUCCGGGCGCACCA